GCAGGUCCUGGAUCCCGGCUGACCUGGCUCAGGCCCUGCAGGGAGAACCUGGGCGCGGGCAGCAAGGGUGGACCCCCGCUGUUUCAGCCUGGCAAAGAGCCCUGCCGCCUGGCGGAGGGCGUGGGCAACCGUGCCAGAAAAAGGAGACUGGAGUGCUGGGAACCCCCCCCCCCCUGCCCAGAGCUUAACUGAAACCAGAGCUGGGUGGAUCCCCGCCCCGUGGGAACACCUCUUCCAGAGACAGGAAGUCUCAUGUGUUUUGCUAUUUAAUGAAGCAGGGACAUUCCUUCGUGGUUUUUGCCCCACUGAGAGAAAGGAGAAGAGGUAAGGUCCCUCCAUCAGACGGUUGAGAAAACUCUGGCUCAAAGACGAUGUUAUUGCCUGAGGUCCUGUCGCUGGAAUGCCAGGCCGCGUCCCUCGGAGGUGGGCACAGAAGAUGCUAAGAUUUCCAGAAGUGGCUCCAGGAUCAAGAAAAAAGCAUCGCCUUCACCUUUUUCCAAGCCCGGGGUAUAACUGUCUGAUUCUUUCCUAAAAAUACAAGGUACACUAUUGUGUUCAUGGGCAGGAGCCAGAAGUCAGAAAAUACAAACGAAUGGUCAAUCCUGAAGCACUUACACUUUCUUUUGGAAUUAAGCCAAGGAUUCCAAGUCAGAAGUGAACACAUUUAGAUGCUGAUUCAGGUUUGUCUUUUCCUGACCCAGUACCAGUGUCUCCUGGGACUGAGAGACCGUAACUCGGCCUAGAAGAGUCUAUUAGGGAUAAAGUGUACAGCAUGUUGGGAGCUCAGUGAUGCCCAAAUAAUAGAAAGAAAAAAGCAGAAGUGAAUUUCAGCUUCCGAAAUGAACCUGGUACCUAAGGCUUCUAGAAGGUUCUUGGACCUUCUUGCAUAUUCUUGAGUGUGUCUGGUCACGAAGGUUUUCUAAUGAGAUAGUCAUGAGGAAUUUUGUUGUCUUUUUUUUUGUUG